AUUGAACGCUGGCGGCAGGCCUAACACAUGCAAGUCGAGCGAGCGGCGGACGGGUGAGUAAUGUAUGGGGACUGCCCGAUAGAGGGGGAUAACUACUGGAAACGGUAGCUAAUACCGCAUACUAUCGGAUAACCCAUAUGGGAUUAGCUAGUAGGUGAAGUAAUGGCUCACCUAGGAGACGAUCCCUAGCUGGUCUGAGAGGAUGCUCAGCCAAACUGGGACUGAGACACGGCCCAGACUCCUACGGAGGCAGCAGUGGGGAAUAUUGCACAAUGGGCGCAAGCCUGAUGCGGCCAGGCCGCGUGUAUGAAGAAGGCCCUAGGGUUGUAAAGUACUUUCAGUCGGGAGACGUUACCGACAGAAUAAGCACCGGCUAACGCCGUGCCAGCAGCCGCGGUAAUAC
rnacentral:rRNA from 1 species